rnacentral:rRNA from 1 species
UGGGGAAUUUUGGACAAUGGGCGAAAGCCUGAUCCAGCAAUGCCGCGUGUGUGAAGAAGGCCUUCGGGUUGUAAAGCACUUUUGUCCGGAAAGAAAUCCUCUGGGUUAAUACCUCGGGGGGAUGACGGUACCGGAAGAAUAAGCACCGGCUAACUACGUGCCAGCAGCCGCGGUAAUACGUAGGGUGCAAGCGUUAAUCGGAAUUACUGGGCGUAAAGCGUGCGCAGGCGGUUUUGUAAGACGGAUGUGAAAUCCCCGGGCUUAACCUGGGAACUGCAUUCGUGACUGCAAGGCUAGAGUAUGGCAGAGGGGGGUAGAAUUCCACGUGUAGCAGUGAAAUGCGUAGAGAUGUGGAGGAAUACCGAUGGCGAAGGCAGCCCCCUGGGCCAAUACUGACGUUCAUGCACGAAAGCGUGGGGAGCAAACAGGAUUAGAUACCCUGGUAGUCCACGCCCUAAACGAUGUCAACUAGUUGUUGGGGAUUCAUUUCCUUAGUAACGUAGCUAACGCGUGAAGUUGACCGCCUGGGGAGUACGGUCGCAAGAUUAAAACUCAAAUGAAUUGACGGGGUCAUAGCU